rnacentral:rRNA from 1 species
AGCGAACGCUGGCGGCAGGCCUAACACAUGCAAGUCGAACGAACUCUUCGGAGUUAGUGGCGGACGGGUGAGUAACACGUGGGAACGUGCCUUUAGGUUCGGAAUAACUCAGGGAAACUUGUGCUAAUACCGAAUGUGCCCUUCGGGGGAAAGAUUUAUCGCCUUUAGAGCGGCCCGCGUCUGAUUAGCUAGUUGGUGAGGUAAAGGCUCACCAAGGCGACGAUCAGUAGCUGGUCUGAGAGGAUGAUCAGCCACAUUGGGACUGAGACACGGCCCAAACUCCUACGGGAGGCAGCAGUGGGGAAUCUUGCGCAAUGGGCGAAAGCCUGGCGAAGCCAUGCCGCGUGAAUGAUGAAGGUCUUAGGAUUGUAAAAUUCUUUCACCGGGGACGAUAAUGACGGUACCCGGAGAAGAAGCCCCGGCUAACUUCGUG